rnacentral:rRNA from 1 species
AUUCCAGCUCCAAUAGCGUAUAUUAAAGUUGUUGCAGUUAAAAAGCUCGUAGUCGGAUUUCGGGGCCUGCCGAGCGGUCUGCCGAUGGGUAUGCACUGUUCGGCGCGUCCUUCUUUCCGGAGACUAAUUCUACUCUUAACUGAGCGGAAUUGGGAGACGGAUCGUUUACUUUGAAAAAAUCAGAGUGUUUCAAGCAGGCAGCUCGCUCUUGCAUGGAUUAGCAUGGGAUAAUGAAAUAGGACUUUGGUGCUAUUUUGUUGGUUUCGAACACCGAAGUAAUGAUUAACAGGGACAGUCAGGGGCACUCGUAUUCCGCCGAGAGAGGUGAAAUUCUCAGACCAGCGGAAGACGAACCACUGCGAAAGCAUUUGCCAGGGAUGUUUUCAUCG